rnacentral:RNase_P_RNA from 1 species
CGGGUAGACCUGACGAUCGCGUGCAAUGCAUGAGGAAAGUCCGGGCUCCGCAGGGCAAGGAUGACGGAUAACGUCCGCCGCAGGUAACUGUAGGGAAAGUGCAACAGAAACAUUCCGCCGUAACGGGUAAUGCCGUGGUAAGGUUGAAAUGGUGAGGUAAGAGCUCACCGGGGGUAUGGAGACAUGCCCGCCGUGUAAACCCCAUCCGGAGCAAGACUGAGUUGGGCAGUAGUGGUGCGGCCCGUACCAGCCCGCAGGUAAGUCGCUUGAUGCUACGAGCAAUCGUAGUACUAGAUGGAUGAUCGUCUAAUACAGAACCCGGCUUAUGGUCUGCCCGAGUU